ensembl:lncRNA
CACAGCUUUCUGUGAGUAUAUGAUUUAUUUCUCACUUCUUAAAAUAUUGAGUUCAUGGCACCCCUUUACAAUAGGAGUAGGCUGUAGGGUGGUUUUGAUGCGCCAUAGGGGGCAGUAGAGCGCACCAUUUGCAGUGAAUAGGCCAACAUCAAGUAGCCUAGGCCUAGCGCUGGAAAGUCUUUGUAGGACAUUAUCCUACCUUUACUGAUAGAUUAAUCAAUUAACCAAUUAGCCUAGAUGGCACAGGAGGUUGGUGGCAUCUUAAUUGGGGAGGACGGGCAUGUGGUUAUGAUUGGAGUCGGAGUCAGGGGAACGGUAUCAAAUACUCGGAGGGGAGGACAGCUCAUAAUAAUGGCUGGAACCGAGCAUCCGUUCCAGACAUUAUUAUGAGCCUUCCUCCCCUCAGCAGCAUCCUGUGCUGCAUGGCUAUACACUGAGUGUACAAAACAUUAGGAACACCUACCUAAUAUCGAAUUGCACCCCCUUUUUCCCUUAGAACAGCCUCAAUUCAUUGAGGCAUGGACUCUACCAGGUUGACUCCAAUGCUUCCCGCAGUUGUGUCAAGUUGGCUUAAUGUCCUUUGAAUGGUGGACCAUUCUUAAUAGUGUGAAAAACCCAGCUGCGUUACAGUUCUUGACACAAUCAAAUCGGUGCACCUGGCACCUACUACCAUACCCCGUUCAAAGGCACUUAUAUAUUAUGUAUUGCCCAUUCACCCUCUGAAUGGCACACAUACACAAUCCAUGUCUCAAUUGUCUCAAGGCUUAAAAUGACAUCAAUAAUGGAUCAUAGCUUUCACCUGGAUUCACCUGGUCAGUCUGUCAUGGAAAUAGCCCUCAGUCUUGUACCCUCAGUGUAUAGCAACAAUAUCAUAUUUAGAUUUAGCAAUCCAGCAAAGUGUUUUGAGUUCCCACCUCCUCAGGUGGUGAAUAAUGUAGCCAAUAGGCCAAUAUGCACAAAGAUGUCGGCAAAUUCUCUGAAGAGUCUGAAAUAAAUUGGAUCAUUCUGGAUCCUAUUUUGACAGGUUACAUAUCAAAAUAUCAAUAAUUCAUUUCCUGGAAAUGUUAGAUGAAAUAGCUUACUUUUUCAAUCAUAGGCUACCAUAGCAGGUAUCUUACUUGGCACUGGGAAAAAAUGUCUAAAGACCUGCUUUAAAGUAGCUGUCCAUAAAAAAAAAUACAUUGUUGUAUUUUUUGCUAUCGAGCAAAAUAGUUUGUCACAAAAUAACAUUUUGCCCAUAUCACCCAGCUCUAGCACAUCCCCCAAAAAAUAUUUAUUAAUUUAUCCCUGAUUUAUCAUUAUCACAAAAACAUUUUCCAUUUAUCGCGAUAUGGAUUGUUUGCCAUAUCGCCCAGCUCUAAACUACAGUCCAAUUGUCAAUCCAAAAUUCCAUGACCGUCACUGGAUUAGCCUGAAC